CGAAGAUACCAGCUGGCUGCAACUGUUUAAUAAAAACACAGCACUGUGCAAACACGAAAGUGGACGUAUACGGUGUGACGCCUGCCCGGUGCUGGAAGGUUAAUUGAUGGGGUCAGCCGCAAGGCGAAGCUCUUGAUCGAAGCCCCAGUAAACGGCGGCCGUAACUAUAACGGUCCUAAGGUAGCGAAAUUCCUUGUCGGGUAAGUUCCGACCUGCACGAAUGGCGUAAUGAUGGCCAGGCUGUCUCCACCCGAGACUCAGUGAAAUUGAACUCGCUGUGAAGAUGCAGUGUACCCGCGGCAAGACGGAAAGACCCCGUGAACCUUUACUAUAGCUUGACACUGAACAUUGAGCCUUGAUGUGUAGGAUAGGUGGGAGGCUUUGAAGCGUGGACGCCAGUCUGCGUGGAGCCAUCCUUGAAAUACCACCCUUUAAUGUUUGAUGUUCUAACUCGGCCCCAUAAUCUGGGGUGAGGACAGUGUCUGGUGGGUAGUUUGACUGGGGCGGUCUCCUCCCAAAGAGUAACGGAGGAGCACGAAGGUUAGCUAAUCACGGUCGGACAUCGUGAGGUUAGUGCAAAGGCAUAAGCUAGCUUGACUGCGAGAGUGACGGCUCGAGCAGGUACGAAAGUAGGUCUUAGUGAUCCGGUGGUUCUGAAUGGAAGGGCCAUCGCUCAACGGAUAAAAGGUACUCCGGGGAUAACAGGCUGAUACCGCCCAAGAGUUCAUAUCGACGGCGGUGUUUGGCACCUCGAUGUCGGCUCAUCACAUCCUGGGGCUGAAGUAGGUCCCAAGGGUAUGGCUGUUCGCCAUUUAAAGUGGUACGCGAGCUGGGUUUAGAACGUCGUGAGACAGUUCGGUCCCUAUCUGCCGUGGGCGUUGGAAGAUUGAGAGGGGUUGCUCCUAGUACGAGAGGACCGGAGUGAACGCACCACUGGUGUUCGGGUUGUCAUGCCAAUGGCAUUGCCCGGUAGCUAAGUGCGGAAAAGAUAAGCGCUGAAAGCAUCUAAGCGCGAAACUUGC
rnacentral:rRNA from 1 species